rnacentral:lncRNA from 1 species
GGAGUAAGAAACUAUGCUUUCGUGAGGUUUUCACCUCCGUACGAGCUAGUGGAUUGCUUCCGGGAUACAUCCGUACAUAUGAUUUCGUGAGAUUUUCAUCUUCGCAUGGUCAUAGGGAAAUGUAUUCCCCUGAAUCAAACUCGAUUCAUAUGAGCCUAUAAUGAGUGAGAAUUGAGGAAUCUGCUGGUUCAGGUACCCUUUCUCUAGAAUCGAGCUACAUAUAGCGAACCUUGAGAGUUCACCUUAGGUAGAACCUUGCCUAAAUUUAGUGGUCACCCGAAUAGGUCUUUUAUUUGUUAUUUAUUUCUCCUGUACUAACAGGUUUUGUUUUUGUUUUGUUUAUAACUGCAUUGCAUUACAUCAUCAUAGAAAGGAGGUGUUGAUUCAUAUUUGAUUACUAAAUAGAACAGUUUGUCAUAAGAAAAUGAAUUUCCUGAUAAAGCGGAUUAUAAUACAGUUGUCUGAAUUGAAGGAAAAAUGCUGCCAGUUCGUGGAGAAAAACAAGUUUUUACUUGAAGAUUCAAGCUAAUAAAGAUUGUUCAAGAGCCAUCGUAUCUUGAUUUUCUUAAUGGAGCUAAUCAACAUAGUGAGGAUAAUGAGUCAUAGCCUGGAUCAAGCAAAGAAGAGCUAGAUGAGGCAUUUAUUAGAGGCUUGCGAGAUUUGGAUUUCACGAAGAAAAGGGAUCGGUGUCUUCGCUUGGAAUAUGAAAGUAAGGCCGUAUGUGUAAUCCGUUUUAUGUAAAGGGAUUUGUUUUCUAGAAAAGUUGUUCUAAUGGAAUUAAAUUGAAAAUCAACACUUCCCUUUCUUUUGCACCCAUCCCAUGCAUUUGCAUUACAUUGCAUCAUUUCAUCAUUUGCAUUAAAUUUUCAUAAAAGGGGUCCCUAAUCAAUUGAAAUCAUUUCAGUUAAUCUGGGAACCAAUAAAGACUUACCAACCAAGUGUCGUUACGGUACCCGUGCUAAGACAAAAGAUAUGGACAAAAGAUUGCAA